CAAUAGCGUAUAUUAAAGUUGUUGCAGUUAAAAAGCUCGUAGUUGGAUUUCUGGUUGAAGCGACCGGUCGGGCGUUGAUUCGUCUGCACUGGAGUCGGUUUUGGCCAUCCUCUAGGAAAGUGCGUCUGGUAUUAAGUUAUCGGGCGUAUGAUCCUGGUCUUUUACUGUGAAAAAAUUAGAGUGUUUUAAGCAGGCCUUCGCCUUGAAUACAUUAGCAUGGAAUAAUAAGAUAGGACUUUGGUCUAUUUUGUUGGUUUGCAGACCGAAGUAAUGAUUAAUAGGGAUAGUUGGGGGUAUUUAUAUUCCGAUGUCAGAGGUGAAAUUCUUAGAUUUUCGGAAGAUAAACUUAUGCGAAAGCAUUUACCAAGGAUGUUUUCAUUAA
rnacentral:rRNA from 1 species